rnacentral:rRNA from 1 species
CCCACGGGGUGCAGCAGUGAGGAAUAUUGGUCAAUGGGCGCGAGCCUGAACCAGCCAAGUCGCGUGAGGGAGGACGGCCCUACGGGUUGUAAACCUCUUUUGCCGGGGAGCAACGGGCGCCACGUGUGGCGUCACUGAGAGUACCCGGAGAAAAAGCAUCGGCUAACUCCGUGCCAGCAGCCGCGGUAAUACGGAGGAUGCGAGCGUUAUCCGGAGUUAUUGGGUUUAAAGGGUGCGUAGGCGGAUCGUUAAGUCAGUGGUCAAAUUGAGGGGCUCAACCCCUUCCCGCCAUUGAAACUGGCGUUCUUGAGUGGAAGAGAAGUAUGCGGAAUGCGUGGUGUAGCGGUGAAAUGCAUAGAUAUUAGGAGGAACACCAGUGGCGAAGGCGGCCUGCUGGACGACAACUGACGGUGAGGCGCGAAAGCGUGGGGAGCAAACAGGAUUAGAUACCCCUGUAGUC